CCAGGCGGCCGGGCGAUCGCGGCGAUCCUCAUGGGAUCGGCGAGGAAAGUCCGGGCUCCACGAAACGGCGGUGCCGGAUAACGUCCGGCGGUUCCUGCGCAAGCGGGGGUCAGGGAAAGUGCAACAGAGAGCAGGUCACGUCUGUCUUCGGACUAGGGCUUCGGCCGCGUGAAAAGUGAAAGGGUGCGGCAAGAGCGCACCGCGCGCCCGGCAACGGGAGCGGCACGGCAAACCCCACCGGGAGCAAGACCGAAUAGGGGCGGCACGCGGCGCAAGCCGCAGGGCAUGUUUCGGCCCGACCGCCCGGGUUGGUUGCUUGAGGCCGUUCGAGAGAACGGUCCUAGAGGAAUGAUCGCCCAUCCGCCCGCGCGUCCCCUUGGGGAUACGGCGGCGGUGGACAGAACCCGGCUUACAGGCCGCCUGGCAUU
rfam:Sphingobium sp. SYK-6 DNA, complete genome.